UCAAAUAAUAUAAAAAAUAAUAUAUAUAUUGACAUGGAUUAAACAAAGAUAUAUAUUAUUUUAUGUUGUAUAAACAAAUUGGCAAAAUAGAGAUGGAAGAUAAAAAUAUGGUCAAAGUAAUAAGAGUCUAUGGUGAAUGCCUAGGAGCUUUAAGGCGAAGAAGGUCGUGGUAAGCUGCGAAAAGCUUGGGGGAGAAGCAAACAUUUAUUGAUCCCAAGAUUACCGAAUGGAGUAAUCCAGCUAGCAAGAUGCUAGCUAUCUAUUAUCUAAAUAAUARAGGCGAUACC
rnacentral:misc_RNA from 1 species